rnacentral:rRNA from 1 species
UACGGGGGGGGCAAGCGUUGUUCGGAAUUACUGGGCGUAAAGGGCUCGUAGGUGGCCAACUAAGUCAGACGUGAAAUCCCUCGGCUUAACCGGGGAACUGCGUCUGAUACUGGAUGGCUAGAGUUUGGGAGAGGGAUGCGGAAUUCCAGGUGUAGCGGUGAAAUGCGUAGAUAUCGGGAGGAACACCAGUGGCGAAGGCGACUUCCUGGCCUGUUCUUGACGCUGAGGCGCGAAAGCUAGGGGAGCAAACGGG